UGAGGGAUGACGGCCUUCGGGUUGUAAACCUCUUUCAGCAGGGAAGAAGCGCAAGUGACGGUACCUGCAGAAGAAGCACCGGCUAACUACGUGCCAGCAGCCGCGGUAAUACGUAGGGUGCGAGCGUUGUCCGGAAUUAUUGGGCGUAAAGAGCUCGUAGGCGGUCUGUCACGUCGGAUGUGAAAGCCCGGGGCUUAACCCCGGGUCUGCAUUCGAUACGGGCAGACUAGAGUGUGGUAGGGGAGAUCGGAAUUCCUGGUGUAGCGGUGAAAUGCGCAGAUAUCAGGAGGAACACCGGUGGCGAAGGCGGAUCUCUGGGCCAUUACUGACGCUGAGGAGCGAAAGCGUGGGGAGCGAACAGGAUUAGAUACCCUGGUAGUCCACGCCGUAAACGUUGGGAACUAGGUGUUGGCGACAUUCCACGUCGUCGGUGCCGCAGCUAACGCAUUAAGUUCCCCGCCUGGGGAGUACGGCCGCAAGGCUAAAACUCAAAGGAAUUGACGGGGGCCCGCACAAGCAGCGGAGCAUGUGGCUUAAUUCGACGCAACGCGAAGAACCUUACCAAGGCUUGACAUACACCGGAAAGCCGUAGAGAUACGGCCCCCCUUGUGGUCGGUGUACAGGUGGUGCAUGG
rnacentral:rRNA from 1 species